ACAAAAAGUAAGUAAGGGCACAUGGCGGAUGCCUUGGCUCUCGGAGGCGAUGAAGGACGUGAUAAGCUGCGAUAAGCUGCGGGUAGGUGCAAAUGACCUUUGAUCCGCGGAUUUCCGAAUGGGACAACCCGGUACCUUGAAGAGGUACCAUUCCACAAUGUGGAAGGCUAACGCAGGGAACUGAAACAUCUUAGUACCUGCAGGAAAAGAAAAUAAACAAUGAUUCCCCCAGUAGUGGCGAGCGAACGGGGAACAGCCCAAACCACCCAUGUUACGGCAUGUGUGGGGUUGUAGGACCACGUCGUGGCAAGAAAGUUGGUGAGCAGAAUGUUCUGGAAAGUACAGCCAUAGAGCAUGACAGCUGCGUAUGCGAAGCCAAGCGAAGCCUAGUGGUAUCCUGAGUAGCGCGGAGCACGAGGAAUUCUGCGUGAAUCUGCCGGGACCAUCCGGUAAGGCUAAAUACUCCCGAGAGACCGAUAGUGAACCAGUACUGUGAAGGAAAGGUGAAAAGCACUUCGAACAGAAGAGUGAAAUAGUUCCUGAAACCAUGUGCCUACAAGCGGUCGGAGCACCUUCUGGUGUGACGGCGUGCCUUUUGCAUA
rnacentral:rRNA from 1 species